CGGCGCCACCGUCAGUUUGCUAAAGUGAGACAGGAAGUGAUGUACAAGCUUCAGAAGUGAUCUACUUGAACUACACACCAUUUACGCACCUUACUACAGAUACGCAUACUGAACAGACAGCGAUCCUGACAAAAGGCUUUGUGAUUUUCGGGGAGGGGCCUACCAGCCACCCAGACCAUGUGGAGAGAGCUGUGCAGGAUGUUCUGCGUGCGCGAGGCAAAGUCGUGGCGGUACAUCUCCAUGGCGAUGGACUCGCCCAGCAGGAUGAUGAGGAACCACAUGUAGGAGGCCGAGUGCAGCAGGAACUUGAUCACAGGGAUUUUCAGGGUUUUUCCGAUCUGCGAGGAGCACAGGGUUUUUAUUAAAUUUCACUCUAAAGAAAGGCAGAAUCACAUGACCCUAGGACAGAACAGACCCUGCCCAGGUGCACGUUGGGACAGGGCAUCAGUCUAGCGGAAAGUGCUGCUAACAAGCCUCAUGGUCCAGGAUCAAGUCAUGCCCGAGUCAGGACUGUGUCUGGGGCUCCCGUGGAACAAUAACAUUGUGCAGGGAGGAAGGGAGGGAGGGUUUCGGUUGGCAGGGCUUUCUCCUCUGAUUGAUGGGGCCUGUGCGAUCAGAGAAUUUCAGUCUCACCUUCGACUUGGGGGCGAUCCAGUAGAUGAGGCAGAGGACUGGCAUGGCCAGGAAGAUCCCAAAGGACACCAGGAGCUUCCAGGCUGUGCGGCUGCCCCUCCAGCUGGUCAGUUUGCCGCACCAAAUGGAGGAGAGCACUUGCUGGCAGAUGGGGUGAGUCACAAACUUGAGGAAGAGAAGGUUACGGUAAUGAGUGCCAAGGAGACGCUUUGAGAAUGUUUUCCCACAGUGCAGUGCAAUUUCACAUUCAGUCUGUAAACAGUGCCAAACAGCUAUUGCACUGGUAUCAGUCUUGUGGGUACCUCAUUGUUAUAUAAAUAAGAGUACAUAGACCCUAGGUAACGGAGUAUAGAUCUUUGGAUGAAGCCGUUAUCUUGCACACAACUGUAAACUCAAAUACUACAUUUAUCAAUAAAGACACUGCACCACCCUGCCCUGCCCACCCCACCGGCCCCA